UACGAUUCAAACGUUAGUUUAUGUGAUAUUAACGCUAUAGAUAGACUUGAAAUGAAAGGAUAAUUUAAGAAAGUCUUUAAAGAUAUACCUGCUAAACUUUGAUAGAGAAGGGGGUUUUAUUUAUUAGAAUCUUUCUCUUUCCUGAUAUGAGAAGUUGGAAUUUUUGCGUUGGAUGUGGUUUGACCAAUUAUAGCAAAAAACAUAUUUCUUUUCUACAGUGUCCGUUUUAAUUGCGAUUUUUGACUGAUUAAUUGUGACAGUGGACAUCCUAGUGAAGGAGGCUUUUGACACUGUGAUUUAUAUGUAUCAGGGAAUGUAACAGAUGGUAAAGAUGAUUUCAAGUAUUCUCAAAGUUUUCACUGUCCUAAUUUUAGCUCAUAUCCUGUUUAACAUUUCAGCUUUGUCAUGUGAAUUUCAAACAAAGUUACGAGGUAAAUGGUUUUUUACUGGUGAAAAUCGACACACUAACGUGAGAAUAAGGUCUAACGUCAUCAUAUUUAAAGCGUCAAGAUAUGUUAAAAUACGAUAUCGAUGUAUUGAAAGCAGGGGAAAUAUUUACUUAUUAAAAAAUACAGCCCACCAAAAGAGGAAUCAGACGCUAUGUAUUGGUUUUAUAUAUGUUGCUGAUAAUCCACAGGGAGAGUUUCUUGUAUCAAGAAUGAUCGAAAGGGGAAGAGAUUCGUUUAUCUUUAGUCCUAUAGAAGUAAGAAAUCCACGAUCUAUAACUAUUAACAAUACAUGUGAUGCUGAAGUCAGUCAACAAAGAAAGUUUAUAUAUAGAAAAGGAAAUGAAUGCAGAUUACCGAGAAGUAUAUUGGGUACAUGGGGAUUUACCUUACGACAGUCAUCGUCACUAACUAUGGGUCGUCGUAAUAUCACCAUACAUUAUCUAAAUAAUAACCAUUUAACGAUGAACUGUGAAACUAGAGAUGGCGAUAUGUAUCUAUUUAGAAGAGCCGCUUUCUAUAACGUGACCACGGAUGCCGUUAUGUGUUUUUAUAUAGUACCAGUGGUUGAUGACCCUUAUUACAGUUACCAGAUGACACGUAUUAUAGCUGGUAAUAUUAUGGAGGGACAGGUACGUACAGUACCGAGAGGUCAACCGUUAAAUGUUCACCUGGACUGCGAUAUGAUUGAUAGUCCAGCACGACCAGAAUAUCUUUACAGACUAGAUACAAUCCUGUAAAGGGAAGAAACUCCAUUCGGUGUUUCUUCGCGAUGAGAAAACUGACGAUUUGUAUAGAUUGAUAAAACGUACUUUAGUCGAUGAAGAAAGGGUCAAUAAUAACUACUGCUAUAUCUGUGGAAAAUAACAAGAUCAAUAGCAAUUUAUUGUUUUGAGUUGUUAAAUAGGGCAUGAUAUUUAAAAUGGCAGUUACUGUAAUUUGCUCAGUAUUUAUAUAAUACUAAAUGUCGUGAAAGUGUUUUGAUUUUGUAAUAUUAGUAGAUUUAAAUAAAAGUGUGUUCCCUCUCUAGUCCUUUAUUCCACUCACGAAACAUAUUUUUAUCGAAAAGCUUUACCUGUAUAAUUAUCAGGAAAUUAUAGGCCCAAUAAGAAACCCACAAUAAAGUUAAUACGUUAAUUAUUA